GGUGGGGGCAGCCCAGGGGACAGGGUCCCUCGGCCGGCUGCUGGCCUGGCGGACCCCUCCCUGCCACCACCCCCCCUCCCACCAGUGAGGCUGCCAGGAGGCCAGGGCUGAGCAGCCAGCCGGAGCGGAGGCUGAUCCUCGGUAAUUGCCGAGGGAGGCGUGGGCCUUCUCCCCUUUCCUGGCACUUAGCUGCAGGUCGGCCCUGAGAGCCUCGGUGAGGCCCCCUGGGCCUGGGAUGAAACCCGACCGGCCCUAAUCGCCGGGGGAGCUGUGGUCCUGCCCGCCUGCAGCCCAGCACAGAGCGAGCCUCACAGCGGCGCUGACCACACGCACAUGGCUGUGCAGCAGACGUCGGGAGCCUUCUCGUCUCCCCACGGAGGCCCUGCCCACUGCGCCCGACUCGCCCUCACUUCCUGCCUGAGCCUGGCUCCUGCAGGUCCUCACACAGGGAGUCGGACGCGGUGUGUCCUGCGUGGGGCCUCCUCGGGGAGCACGGGGCCCUCGGGGCCCUCGCAGUGGCUCCGCUUGCCUUCUUUCUGAGCUGGGGCUCCGGGUGUGGCUGUGGUGUCCACGCCUCUGCGGGCAACACCGGGUGCUUCCCCUUCGGGGUCAUCGGGAGUGAGCUGUGGACACAGUGUGCACCUGACCUUUAAGGUCCCGCUUGCGGCCGGGCCGGCGGGCUCAAGGCUGAGCGUCGACCUAGGAACCAGGAGGUCACGGUUCGAUUCCCGGUCAGGGCACCUGCCCGGGUUGUGGGCUUGA